rnacentral:rRNA from 1 species
AUCAUGGCUCAGGAUGAACGCUAGCUACAGGCUUAACACAUGCAAGUCGAGGGGAAACGAUAUUGGAAGCUUGCUUCCGAUAGGCGUCGACCGGCGCACGGGUGAGUAACGCGUAUCCAACCUGCCCAUCACUUGGGAAUAACCUUGCGAAAGUAAGACUAAUGCCCAAUGACAUUUAUAGAAGGCAUCUGAAAUGAAUUAAAGAUUUAUCGGUGAUGGAUGGGGAUGCGUCUGAUUAGCUUGUUGGCGGGGUAACGGCCCACCAAGGCAACGAUCAGUAGGGGUUCUGAGAGGAAGGUCCCCCACAUUGGAACUGAGACACGGUCCAAACUCCUACGGGAGGCAGCAGUGAGGAAUAUUGGUCAAUGGGCGAGAGCCUGAACCAGCCAAGUAGCGUGCAGGACGACGGCCCUAUGGGUUGUAAACUGCUUUUAUAAGGGAAUAAAGUGAGUCUCGUGAGACUUUUUGCAUGUACCUUAUGAAUAAGGACCGGCUAAUUCCGUG